rnacentral:rRNA from 1 species
GCGCAGCAGGCGCGAAAACUCCGCAAUGCGCGAAAGCGUGACGGGGUCACCCCGAGUGCCGUCCGCUGAGGAUGGCUUUUGCCUGGUGUAACCAGCCGGGUGAAUAAGGGGAGGGCAAGUCUGGUGUCAGCCGCCGCGGUAAUACCAGCUCCUCGAGUGGUUGGGACGAUUAUUGGGUCUAAAGCGUCCGUAGCCGGCCGGAAAAGUUCUCCGUUAAAUCCAACGAUCCAAUCGUUGGGCUGCGGAGAAUACACUCCGGCUUGGGGGCGGGGGAGGUCGGCGGUAGUCCCGGGGUAGGGGCGAAAUCCUAUAAUCCCGGGAGGACCACCAGUGGCGAAGGCGGCCGACUAAAACGCGCUCGACGGUGAGGGGCGAAAGCUGGGGGAGCGAACCGGAUUAGAUACCCCUGGAGUCC